rnacentral:rRNA from 1 species
GAUGAACGCUGGCGGCGUGCUUAACACAUGCAAGUCACGGGGGCCCAGCAAUGGGUAACCGGCGAACGGGUGCGUAACACGUGAGCAACCUACCGAAAUGAGGGGGAUAGCCGUCCCAACGGACGGGUAAUACCGCAUAAGCUCUUGUCCAGGCAUUUGGAUUAGAGGAAACCUCCGGGGCAUUUCGAGGGGCUCGCGGCCUAUCAGCUAGUUGGUGAGGUAACGGCUCACCAAGGCGACGACGGGUAGCUGGUCUGAGAGGGUGACCCCCNCC